rnacentral:rRNA from 1 species
UAUGACCUACGGGGGGCAGCAGUGGGGGAUAUUGGACAAUGGGGGGAACCCUGAUCCAGCGACGCCGCGUGAGUGAAGAAGUAUUUCGGUAUGUAAAGCUCUGUCAGCAGGGAAGAAAGAAAUGACGGUACCUGACCAAGAAGCCCCGGCUAACUACGUGCCAGCAGCCGCGGUAAUACGUAGGGGGCAUGCGUUAUCCGGAUUUAUUGGGUUUAAAGGGUGCGUAGGCGGACUGUUAAGUCAGCGGUAAAAGCCCGGGGCUCAACCCCGGCGAGCCGUUGAAACUGGCUGUCUUGAGCUGUCGG